GCACUGCCUUUAACAAUACAUAUCCUCAAAUUGGAAGGCUACAGAGGAAAUGAGCAUGGCCCCUGCACAAGAAUGACAUACAAAUCUUGAAGUGUCCCUUAUUAAA